CCCCAGUAGCGGCGAGCGAAGCGGCAACAGCCCAGAUUUGAAAUCCGGCGUUCUUUGGGCGCCCGAGUUGUAAUCUGCAGAUGGGUUUUCCGGUGAGGCACACGUCCAAGUUCCCUGGAAUGGGACGCCGCAGAGGGUGAGAGCCCCGUACUGGCGCCGUGCCGAGCCUCUGUGAGGCCCAUUCGACGAGUCGAGUAGUUUGGGAAUGCUGCUCUAAUUGCGAGGUAAAUCUCUCGUAAGGCUAAAUACCGGCCAGAGACCGAUAGCGCACAAGUAGCGUGAGCGAAAGAUGAAAAGAGCCUUGGAUAAGGGCGUCAAAAAGCAUGUGAAAUCGUUAUGGGGGAAGCGCUCGUCGCCAGACGUGGCGGCGGCUGGUUAGCCGGCGUUCUCGCCGGCGCACUCGGACCGCCGCCAGGCCAGCAACAGCUCGGACCGGGGCCCACUGCCGGAGGGAACGUGGCUCCUUUCGGGGAGUGUUAUAGCCCUUCGGCGACGCCCUGGACCGGGCUGAGGACCGCGCCUCGCGCACGGAUGCUGGCGUAAUGGCGCCUAGCGACCCGUCUUGAAACACGGACCAAGGAGUUGACCUAGCGCGCGAGUGUACGGGUGUCAAGCCCCUGCGCGCAGUGAAAGCAAACGCUGGUGGGAGCCUUCGGGCGCACCAUCGACCGAUCCUGAUGCUCCGCGGAUGGAUUUGAGUAGGAGCGUGCUGGGUCUGACCCGAAAGAAGGUGAACUAUGCAUGGGUAGGGUGAAGCCAGAGGAAACUCUGGUGGAGGCUCGCAGCGGUUCUGACGUGCAAAUCGAUCGUCAAACCUGUGCAUGGGGGCGAAAGACCAA
rnacentral:rRNA from 1 species